UAUGUUUGCAACUUAGAAAUACUUGAUGUUCCAUAAAUAAAACAGCAGUGUUUGAACACGAUGUUCAAACAAGCUGCCACUGAGCCAGGGAUGGCGAAUUGGCAGCGGCUGCGGAAGCAUGAGAGAUUGUAGAUUGGAACAUUUAGUAUUUCUUGGUUGCAAUACAU
rfam:Clostridium sp. CAG:127 genomic scaffold, scf83